rnacentral:rRNA from 1 species
AUUGAACGCUGGCGGCAUGCCUUACACAUGCAAGUCGAACGGCAGCACGGGAGCAAUCCUGGUGGCGAGUGGCGAACGGGUGAGUAAUAUAUCGGAACGUGCCCAGUAGUGGGGGAUAGCCCGGCGAAAGCCGGAUUAAUACCGCAUACGACCUGAGGGUGAAAGCGGGGGAUCGCAAGACCUCGCGCUAUUGGAGCGGCCGAUAUCAGAUUAGCUAGUUGGUGGGGUAAAGGCCUACCAAGGCUACGAUCUGUAGUUGGUCUGAGAGGACGACCAGCCACACUGGGACUGAGACACGGCCCAGACUCCUACGGGAGGCAGCAGUGGGGAAUUUUGGACAAUGGGCGCAAGCCUGAUCCAGCAAUGCCGCGUGCAGGAAGAAGGCCUCGGUUGUAACUGCUUUGUCUAGGAAGAAAGUACUUCUGGGCUAAUACCCCGGGAGGACGUGACGGUACCUGAAGAAUAAGACACCGGCUAACUACGUGCCAGCAGCCGC